rnacentral:tRNA from 1 species
GUACUUUGGUGUAAUUGGUAGCACGACAGACUCAUGAUUUGUUAGAUUAGGUUCGAGUCCUAAAAUGUACU